rnacentral:rRNA from 1 species
UACGUAGGGGGCUAGCGUUGUCCGGAAUCAUUGGGCGUAAAGAGCGUGUAGGCGGUCCGGUAAGUCCGCUGUGAAAGUCGGGGGCUCAACCCUCGAAUGCCGGUGGAUACUGUCGAGCUAGAGUGCGGAAGAGGCGAGUGGAAUUCCUGGUGUAGCGGUGAAAUGCGCAGAUAUCAGGAGGAACACCUAUUGCGAAGGCAGCUCGCUGGGACGUUACUGACGCUGAGACGCGAAAGCGUGGGGAGCAAACAGG